ACUAUUAAAGUAUCUCCUUUGCUGUCUGUUACCUGAGUCUCACUUAACCAGCGUUAAACUUCCAUCAUUCUAGCCCAACAGUUAUAAAUAUCUUUAUUUCUUUUUGAACAAAACAUAUUUCCUAUUAGACUGGAAAUUUUGACACACUCAAAUGUUUGAAGUCCCAAGAGGAAGACAGCUAAAAUAAAAGGAAUUGAGCAGCAAAGCAACUCAGAAAAGCAGAAAUGAAAACAGAUGUUAAACCUCUUUAAAACAAAUUUUUACUAAUAGCCUCAACCAAAGCUAUUUCAGUCAACUACUAGAAAUAUUCUACCUAGUCAAAAGUUCUCAACAAGCUUCCUAGGUCAUGAGCUCCUCAAGGGUGUGGGCUAACUCUUUCCAGGGUUCUAUCUACCACCCAGCAUCAUGCAUGUCAUGACUCUCCAUCAUGGGUGAUUUUGCCCCCCAAGUGUCAUUUGGCAUUAUCUGGAGACAUUUUUAGUUGUCAUGACUGGGGUAAGACUGGGGAAAGGAGGUUUUGCUAACAGCAUACACUGGGUGGAGGCCAGUGAUGCUGCCAGCCACCCUGCAGUGCACGGGACCGCCCCCACCGCAAAGGGUUAUGCAACUAAAAUGUCAAAAGUGCUGAGGGUGAGGAAACUCUAGCUUAGGUCAAUGAUGCCACUGCCCUUCAUGUUCAAAUACAAAAUCACUUAUCAUGUGGCUUCAUGUAGACUUCUGGCAACAGCUUACACGCCCUUUUAAACUGGAUACAUUAGGUCUGCUCCCUGGUAAGACACUCUGGCCACUGAGACCGCAGUUUGAAAUUCCUGCAGUGUUAAAAGCCUGAGUCUCCUUUCACAAUUAGCCAGCAAUCCAUAAGAAAAUAGCGCUGAAGGUUUCUGAGCCUGUUUCCUCAAAGUAGAUGCGAGUUCUCACCUUCCAGGGCUGUUCUAAGGAGAGAAAGUGGCACACCUGCAGAGUGUCUGGGAUGAGCCUGGCGUGUGCUUGCUGACUACCAAGGUGACAUAGUACCAAGUACAAUGCCGGACACAUGGUAUCCAACACCCAAAUACUGAACUGAGCCCAAAGUGUGAGAACUUUUUGGUUGAGAAAGGAGAUAUCUUGUGAAUAUAAGAAUGAAUGGAUUAUAUGCUUCUCUCUUAGGUAAGAUGCUGGAAAUGAUUUUAUAAGUCCACAUUUCAAUCCUUAAAAAAAAAAAUCACUGAACCCAAAUGUGAAAUUCAACUUUUAUACUUUUUUGUUGUUGCUGUUGUUUUUUUUUGUUUUGUUUUGUUUUGUUUUUUUUGAGAUGGAGUCUCGCUCUGUCACCCAGGCUGGAGUACCAUGGUGUGAUCUCAUCUCACUGCAACCUCCUCUGCCUCCUGGGUUCAAGCUAUUCUCCUGCCUCAGCCUCCCAAGUAGCUGGGAUUACAGGUGCCCGCCAACACACCUGGCUUAUUUUUGUAUUUUUAGCAGAGAUGGAGUUUCACUAUGUUGGCCACGCUGGUCUCAAACUCCUGACCUCAAGUGAUCUGCCUGCCUCGGCCUCCCAAAGUGAUGGGAUUACAGGCGUGAGCCACCACGCCCAGCCUACAUUUUUCUCUUAAGUAACAGAUUUGAGGUAGCUUACUGAGUGAGAAAGAGAGAGAGAGAGAGAGAGAGAGGGAAAGAAGAAGGAAGGAAGAAGGGAGGGAAGGAAGAAAGGAAAAAGGACAUUAGCAGAGACACAAUAAUUUAGUGCAAAAAAAUAACUGAAGCAACUAGCAUGUGGCAGACCGAUCCCAGUCAGCUUUCUUUGUCCCUUUGGUAUUAAAGAACACUCUUCACUACUCCAUGCUGAGGGAGCUGUAAGAGAGAGUAAGAUCCUGCUCUUUCAAAAGCAUCCAGUUGAGAGAGUGGUCAAUUAGGUAAAUAAUUACCAUCUCAAGUAAUGAAUGUUUCACAUAACUUACAAGCACAAAGUUAACUGGGAGCAAGAAGGAAGGAGAGGUUAAUUCCAACUCUGGCUGGAGCAGGGUUUCGUGGAGCAGAGCUACCCAAGGGGACACUUGAAGUUCUCCUUGUUUUCUUGGUAGAAGUUUGUCAAGCAAAGGGGAGAAGGGAUGUUGUAACCACAAUUGUCGUAAUAAAUGAAUCCAGAGAAAUCUGUAAUGAUGUAUGCGUGACAGGCAGUAGUGAGUAAUGCAAUUUAGCUGACAUGCAGAGUACAAGGAAGGAAUGACAGAAAAUGAGGCUGGGAAGAUUGGCUGGAGCUCUGAGGUGUGUCACAAGCAAGUUAAACUUUAUAAAACAGCAGGAGGAAGCCAUAGGAGAUUUCUCAAGGUGUAAAGGAAUAAGACCAGAUCUCCUUUGUAGAUAAAAUUAGGGGAGUGGGGCAGUGCAGAUGAUGGCAUUGAGAUGGUGACAGGGAGAACAGUUAGGAGGCUACAGCAAUAGUCCAAACCAAAGGAGAUGAAAUCAAAAGAUCAAAUACUUUUCAUUAAUCUAUUUGCUCUAUCAAUCCAUCCAUCUCACAGUUGUGUCCACUAUGUGGGAGCCACUAUGCUAACCAAGUGCUAUCAACUGAAUGUUUCUGUCCUCUCCAAAUUCACAUGUUAAAAUCCUAACCCCCAGUGUGAUGCUCUUAGGAGGUGGGGCUUUUGAGUGGUGAUUAGGUCAUGAGGGUAGAGUCUUCACAAAUAGGAUUAGUGCCCUUAUAAAAGGGAACCCAUUGAACUCUCUGCUUUCUGCCAUGUGAGGACACCACGAAAAGACAGCCCCAAACACCAAAUCUGCCAGUGCCUUGAUCCUGGACUUCUCAGCCUCCAGAACUGUGAGAAAUAAAUUUCGGUUGUUUAUAAGUCACACAGUCUAGGGCAUUUUGUUAGAGGAGCCUGAACAGGCUAAGGCAGUGAGGCAUCAUUAGUGAGACAAACUAACACAGUCUCCUCCUGGCACAAAGUCUGUAUUCUAGUGGAGGUGGCAGGUAUCAAAUCAUUUGUUACAUCUUAUUUACUAUCUAUAGUGAUGAGUGCUAUAAGAAAGAAAAAUGUUCUAAGAAAGCAUAUCACAAGAGACUGUGACCUAGUCUGAGGGUGGGGGUAGUCAAAGACAGCUUCUGCAAAAAAUUACCUUUAAGCUUCUCUUGAAACACUUGAAUGGUGGCAGUUUAUUCUCUCACAUCCUUCAUUCUAGAUACAAAUUUUGAUCAACUUUUUAUUAGUCAACUUUGCUCUGUGCAAUCACAUUCAAGCAUUUAAGUAUUUAUUUACUAAAAUCCCCGGUAGGGCUAACCAAACCAGUA
rnacentral:lncRNA from 1 species